GUUGAUGGUUGCUUAGGUUUGAACCCAUUCUCAAAGUACUAAAUUUUUGCCCCUUUAUUUUAGGUAUAUGGUGUCAUACUUUAUAUCCUUUUAUUUAUGUUUUUGAAAGAAAUGGGAAGCAAGAUCAUCAGCUGAGGGGAGAUGGUGUUGAAGGUUUAACGACAGAGAAGACAUGGAAUGAUUAAGCUGGCUUUUCCAUGUUGUUGCUGUCCUCCUGAUCCACUCUGGGAGAGAACAAAGUCACCAAUGCUCAGUGAAGAUCCUGCUACUCGGUUUAACUACAUUUCUCAGAUGAAUGGUGGGUACAAAAAGGAAUAACAAUGGAGGAGGACAAACAAACAAAAGAUGACUUCUUAGGACUUCUAAGAUAUAAAGGCCUCAUCCUUCUAUAAGAAUUAUUGUCCCAAGAAAGAGGAGCACGAUUGCCACCAGAGAAAGAGGAGGAUAUGAUAUAGAAGCCAUGGUGCACAGGGUAGGGAAGUGGAAAACUGGGAGGGGAGAAAGGACAGGAAAUGAGAAAAGGGCAGGAAAAUGUAUGUGCUUGUCUUUCUUCCUCCUUAGAGGUUAAUCUGUAAAGGAGAGAAAGUAGAUAUACUGAAAUACACUCUGAAGUUCCUCAAACGUGGCACAUCACAGAGAAGUUCUACACUCAGCCUGGGGUAGCAUGUUAGAGAGCAUUGAAAGAAGAAGAUUCUAGAUGGAUGGGCCAUGACAUCCCAUGAUCUUCAUGUGCCAAGGGGAGGUCCAAAGUUCCUGAUGACCCCACGAGGAAUGCAGAAGUGCUGAGAAAAUGCUGGGUCUGAAGAUGCCUCAGGACCAAGGGAACCCCCCGCUCCUGACAGAAGGUCCAAAAGAGGUGGAGCUUGUGACCCAGUGAAGGACACACAUGUGUCAACAAAUCCAGUGCAGUAAAUGAUACAACUGAGGCAGGUUCACAGUGUGGAAGAAACAUAGAACAAGAUUAAAUGGUUGGUCUUCUCAGGGUAGACGAUGUUCUAAUCAGACCCUGAAGGAUGAGAGUUUUCAUAGGUAGACUUCACUUGUCCCUGUGCUGAGGUGUCUCCCUGUGGAAUUCUUGCCAUUUAUGUCUCCUGAAAUCCCUCAUAUCAAACAUCACCUACUUCAUGAAAAUUUUUCUUAUCCUUCCCACCAGAUUUGAUUUCUCCUGUUUCCUAGUUUUCAUGGCACUCUCGACUUAGUAUCUGGGAAAUUCUCUGGAAAAUUCUCUCAGAUGGGAGAGACCUUAGCCAGAUUCUUCUGAACUGUGUUCAUUUUCAUAGUUGCUGAUCAAUAGCUCUGUAACAAAUGUUAGUCAUAGGUAAUGUGAAAUAGCUAGCCUAGAACGUAUAAAUUAGUUUUCACAGUGAAGCUGAUUUUGCCGCUUCCAAGUCCAUCUUCUUUAGUCUUGGCAAGGGGAGAUUUGAUGAUACAUAAGUUGUGAAAAAUAGAUUCCAGCUCAUGUCCUGUCCUUACAGUGUCUCAGAGGAUUUUCAUGGUUACUUUAUGAGGUAGGUACUAUUAUCCCCAUUUUAUAGAUGAGGAAGAAGAAACUCAGAAAUUUUAAGGCACUUGUCAAAUAUCACACAGCUGAUAAAUGGGAGCACUAAGAUGAAAUCAAAGUUGUCUGAUCCUGAAGCACAAAUUGUAUCUUGAUGAACAAAUGACAUCUUAAUGGAGAGCAUCUCCAGGGAUUACAGGUUUUACUGGGAGAUACAGUUAGACACAAUUCUGACUUGCUUUGGUGAUCAAAAUUGGUUUAUUCCAGCCUAAAUCAGGUCACUAGGAGAUGGUAAAACUUGAUUAUUCCAUGGAAAAGAGACCUACCAUGUAAAUUGUCAGGAAGAUUGUAUGUACAGAAGUUUUUGAAAACAAGGUGAGAGGGAUAUAUUUUUCUGUUUAAGUGUGGAACGCAAGAUAGAGACACCAAUGAACAAAAUGUAACAAAAUAUUCAGGUAGUGGGCUUAGCUCUGGAAAGUACAGGCUACUCCAAUCAGUGCCACUGAUUACCACAAACAUUUCUUACAAAUGUGUCUGAUAUGCAAGUUUCUCCUUCAUUUUAUGCCACUAGUGACAUUAUUAAGUAAUAAAAAAAUGUUUGGUUGAAAAUGGA